GUCUUUAAGUUUAUAAUAUAAAGUUUAAUCUGCCCACUGAUAAUUUGAAUGGCCGCAGUAAUUUGACUGUGCAAAGGUAGCAUAAUAAUUAGUUUUUUAAUUGAAAGCUGGAAUGAAUGAUUGGACAAGAUAAAUACUAUCUAAGAAUUAAUUUAUUAAAAUUUUAUUUAUAAGUUAAAAAGCUUAUAUUUAUUUAAAAGACGAGAAGACCCUUUAGAGUUUAAUAUUUAUUAUAAUUUAUUUUUUGUGGAAUAUUUAUUUAUAUAUUAUUUUAAAUAUUUGGUUGGGGUGAUUAAAAAAUUUAUUAAACUUUUUUAUUAUUUUAUCAAUAAUUAUUGAUUUUUUGAUCCUUAAAUUAAGAUUAUUAGAUUAAAUUACCUAAGGGAUAACAGCGUAAUUAUUUUGGAGAGUUCUUAUUAAUAAAAUAGAUUGCGACCUCGAUGUUGGAUUAAGAUAAAUAUUUAAUGAAGAAGUUAAAUUAAUUAAGUCUGUUCGACUUUUAAAAUCUUACA
rnacentral:rRNA from 1 species